CCUACGGGUGGCAGCAGUGAGGAAUAUUGGUCAAUGGGCGUAAGCCUGAACCAGCCAAGUCGCGUGAGGGAUGAAGGUUCUAUGGAUCGUAAACCUCUUUUAUAAGGGAAUAAAGUGCGGUCUGUGUCCCGCUUUGUAUUUACCUUAUGAAUAAGGAUCGGCUAACUCCGUGCCAGCAGCCGCGGUAAUACGGAGGAUCCGAGCGUUAUCCGGAUUUAUUGGGUUUAAAGGGUGCGUAGGCGGGCUUUUAAGUCAGCGGGGAAAGUCUGUGGCUCAACCAUAAAAUUGCCGUUGAUACUGGGAGGCUUGAGUAUGUUAGAGGCAGGCGGAAUUCGUGGUGUAGCGGUGAAAUGCUGAGAUAUCACGCAGAACCCCGAUUGCGAAGGCAGCCUGCCAAGCCAUGACUGACGCUGAUGCACGAAAGCGUGGGGAUCAAACAGGAUUAGAUACCCCAGUAGUC
rnacentral:rRNA from 1 species